CGGCCCUUAGAGGAAGAAGCAAGAGCAGAGGAACAGACCCGCACUGCGGGAGCAGCCAGGGAUCUCAUGGGAACCGCAUGGCUGACUUUUGUUUUUAAGGGAGAGAUGAUCUUCCCAGUCUGAGCUAAUUGGGAAGGCCAGCAGCCAGUCCAAGGCCUUUCCGAGAAGGGAAAAAAUACGCAUUCGCUCAGUCUGAGAUUUUGAUUUGUGGCCAUAAGUUGUGCAGCUUCUGAGAUGAGAAGACGGGGAAAGAGUGUGAACCUCUCCUUUAAAUAAAAGAAAGUGAGCCAAAAGCUGCAAGCCUCAGGACCUGUUCACCUCAAAAAAGCCAGACUGCUGACUCAGGGGUGCUGAGAAAACAAUCCCUGAGCUGAUGACUGUAUCCACUUAGAAAAAUAAAAAUUAGUGAAUAUUUAUACGUUGAUUUCCAAAAAAAUAGAUCAAUCUGUGUAUCUUUAGUAUUUCACCAUAAAAUUAUGCUUUUGUCUGAAUGCAGGUUCCAAAUAAAUAUAUCAAAUAAAAAUCUCCAUUACUACCAUUCCUCAUGCAGAUGGUUAAUCUAAGCAGUCAGGUGAGGAGGAGAUGGGGACAAUUGUGACAGACAGACUUUUAAAAAUAAAUUACAAACCACAGCCCCACCAGGUGAAACUUGGAAGACUGAUGGCUGGUCAGCUCACUUGGAUGUUAAUAAAAGACUAUACCCCACAUUUGGAGAUAUUAUUAGAUCCUAUGUAUAAAUUAUUAAGAAAAUGUCUUUGUGACUCAUCUCUGUGGUGAUCCUACAGUUACCACAGAAUACAAAAUUGGAUUUGUAUGAUAAUUUGGUCCAUACAUAACCUUAGAUAUUAACACAACAUUUCUAUGGUUCUAAGUUUCUAAUUUCUGGGUUUUUUCUUAAUGCGAAAAUAAAAACAUCUGAA